GCAGGCUUACACAUGCAAGUCGAGGGGUAACAGAGAAAAGCUUGCUUUUUUGCUGACGACCGGCGCACGGGUGCGUAACGCGUAUGCAAUCUACCUUUUGCUAAGGGAUAGCCCAGAGAAAUUUGGAUUAAUACCUUAUAGUAUGAUGACUUGGCAUCAAGAUAUCAUUAAAGGUUACGGCAAAAGAUGAGCAUGCGUUCUAUUAGCUAGUUGGUAUGGUAACGGCAUACCAAGGCAACGAUAGAUAGGGGUCCUGAGAGGGAGAUCCCCCACACUGGUACUGAGACACGGACCAGACUCCUACGGGAGGCAGCAGUGAGGAAUAUUGGACAAUGGAGGCAACUCUGAUCCAGCCAUGCCGCGUGCAGGAAGACUGCCCUAUGGGUUGUAAACUGCUUUUAUACAGGAAGAAACACCUCUACGUGUAGAGAUUUGACGGUACUGUAAGAAUAAGGAUCGGCUAACUCCGUGCCAGCAGCCGCGGUAAUACGGAGGAUCCAAGCGUNAUCCGGAAUCAUUGGGUUUAAAGGGUCCG
rnacentral:rRNA from 1 species